rnacentral:snoRNA from 14 species
UUCCGCUGAUGACGUCUGUUAGUGCCACGUGUCUGGGCCACUGAGAGCACAUGAUGGGAUUGAGGAUCUGAGGAA